CGUGACCCGAGCUGCGGCCGUGCGCCCCCGGUGCCGGGCCGGCCGCGGGAGGGACGGCGGGCCCCAGGCCAGGCGCCGGGCGGGUCCGGACCUUGCUGAGCGCCCGCCGCCCUCCCUCGCGGGUUGAGACCCGUAGAAAGUGGCCUCCCGCCUCUGGCCACGCGUUGUUUUUGCUUUAAAAAGCGGGUCGGCUGCCCCUCAUUCCCUGGUCGGGUGUGGCCGAAAGGCGGCUUCCGAAGCGCGGUGGUGUGAAUGCCGCUGCUUAGCCGGGGGCCCGGUGGGAACAGGCAUUCCUAGACCUGGUCCGCGGGCUCCAUACGCGGCCAGCCAGUGACCUUAGUUUUCCACACUCGAGUUAGGCGGGGACCGGGGAGGGGGACGGUAAAUGGGUUUUGGGGGUUCCUGGCCACGCGUAGGCCUGGUGGCAGGGUCUCUGAACGCCGAAUGCAAGCGGAACAGCCCACGAGAAGUGGCUCCUUGUGGGUUCGCUGGGGUUUUAGAAAGGGCUGCUUUCCUUUUUCUCUAGGGAGUUUGCUAGAGACCGAGCACCUGGGAGGGCGUCCUGGGGUCUCAGCUCUUGGGUGGCCUCGGUUGGUGAGGCGGUCCGGCCUUUGACAGCAGGAGGUAGGAGUGGGUCGCCGACAAGCAGGGAUGAGCAGAAGAGCAGCCGGGGUUGUAAACACGAGUGACGGGCAGGACGAGAGACCGCUCGAAAGCGCCUCCGUGCCACGCGCCUCGCCAGACGGCUGUCACAGUCCUGCAGAGGUAGAGGCUGGUGUCUGACUUGGUA
rnacentral:lncRNA from 1 species